GAUGAACGCUGGCGGCGUGCCUAAUACAUGCAAGUCGAGCGAACGGACGAGAAGCUUGCUUCUCUGAUGUUAGCGGCGGACGGGUGAGUAACACGUGGAUAACCUACCUAUAAGACUGGGAUAACUUCGGGAAACCGGAGCUAAUACCGGAUGAUAUUUUGAACCGCAUGGUUCAAAAGUGAAAGACGGUCUUGCUGUCACUUAUAGAUGGAUCCGCGCUGCAUUAGCUAGUUGGUAAGGUAACGGCUUACCAAGGCAACGAUGCAUAGCCGACCUGAGAGGGUGAUCGGCCACACUGGAACUGAGACACGGUCCAGACUCCUACGGGAGGCAGCAGUAGGGAAUCUUCCGCAAUGGGCGAAAGCCUGACGGAGCAACGCCGCGUGAGUGAUGAAGGUCUUCGGAUCGUAAAACUCUGUUAUUAGGGAAGAACAUAUGUGUAAGUAACUGUGCACAUCUUGACGGUACCUAAUCAGAAAGCCACGGCUAACUACGUGCCAGCAGCCGCGGUAAUACGUAGGUGGCAAGCGUUAUCCGGAAUUAUUGGGCGUAAAGCGCGCGUAGGCGGUUUUUUAGUCUGAUGUGAAAGCCCACGGCUCAACUGUGGAGGGUCAUUGGAAACUGGAAAACUUGAGUGCAGAAGAGGAAAGUGGAAUUCCAUGUGUAGCGGUGAAAUGCGCAGAGAUAUGGAGGAACACCAGUGGCGAAGGCGACUUUCUGGUCUGUAACUGACGCUGAUGUGCGAAAGCGUGGGGAUCAAACAGGAUUAGAUACCCUGGUAGUCCACGCCGUAAACGAUGAGUGCUAAGUGUUAGGGGGUUUCCGCCCCUUAGUGCUGCAGCUAACGCAUUAAGCACUCCGCCUGGGGAGUACGACCGCAAGGUUGAAACUCAAAGGAAUUGACGGGGACCCGCACAAGCGGUGGAGCAUGUGGUUUAAUUCGAAGCAACGCGAAGAACCUUACCAAAUCUUGACAUCCUUUGACAACUCUAGAGAUAGAGCCUUCCCCUUCGGGGGACAAAGUGACAGGUGGUGCAUGGUUGUCGUCAGCUCGUGUCGUGAGAUGUUGGGUUAAGUCCCGCAACGAGCGCAACCCUUAAGCUUAGUUGCCAUCAUUAAGUUGGGCACUCUAAGUUGACUGCCGGUGACAAACCGGAGGAAGGUGGGGAUGACGUCAAAUCAUCAUGCCCCUUAUGAUUUGGGCUACACACGUGCUACAAUGGACAAUACAAAGGGCAGCGAAACCGCGAGGUCAAGCAAAUCCCAUAAAGUUGUUCUCAGUUCGGAUUGUAGUCUGCAACUCGACUACAUGAAGCUGGAAUCGCUAGUAAUCGUAGAUCAGCAUGCUACGGUGAAUACGUUCCCGGGUCU
rnacentral:rRNA from 1 species